UACGUAGGGUGCAAGCGUUGUCCGGAAUUAUUGGGCGUAAAGAGCUCGUAGGCGGUUUGUCGCGUCUGCUGUGAAAACUCAGGGCUUAACCCUGAGCCUGCAGUGGGUACGGGCAGACUAGAGUGUGGUAGGGGAGAUCGGAAUUCCUGGUGUAGCGGUGGAAUGCGCAGAUAUCAGGAGGAACACCGGUGGCGAAGGCGGGUCUCUGGGCAGUAACUGACGCUGAGGAGCGAAAGCGUGGGGAGCAAACAGG
rnacentral:rRNA from 1 species